CGUCCACCUCUACCUCUCUUGAUAUCCACUAUUAUCAAGCUCUCGCACCUACAGCAUCUCCGAGGCGAAAUUGAACAAUUUGUGAAAGUUGAAUGGGCAAUUUGACCCUUUUCCCAAACUUCCUCUGAAAUGUGAAACCAGCUCCAGAGCAAAGGCGUAUAGAAAAUACUAACCACAGUAAGAGUCGAUCUCUCCUCCAAAUCCAACUAUGGCGAUGAGCAAAGCUGCAAAACUACCCGAAGAAAUCAUAAUUGACAUACUUUCCCUCCUACCUGCAAAGUUUAUAGGCCAAUAUAGGUGCGUGUCAAAGCAGUGGUGUAACCUUCUCUCAGACCCACAAUUCAUCAAAUCUCACCAAAAUAUCCAUGCCCAUAAAGGAGAAGAGAAACUCAUCUAUGUCUCUUGGUUUUGCGAACUUCAAACUAUCACGUUUAACCACAACCCCCAAAAUGGAAUCGAUAUCAUCUCAAGGACGCUUAAUUUGCAGCAGCUUUCAAACAGCUGGGUAAGUGUUGCUGGCUCAUGUAAUGGCUUGGUCUUGGUGAUUAAGAGGGAAGAGGCUAAAUAUAUGAUCAAUCCCACUACCUUAGAGUACCAUAACAUUCCAAAUUUUGAUUUGGCUCUUCCUGUGCCAGGUAGUUGUAGCAUGUAUGGUUUCGGGUACGAUACUCUUAGCGAUGAUUAUAAGGUGGUUACUCUUUCUUAUUAUGAUUCAUUUGAUGAAAAUGAGCCUGCAAUUACGGACACUUUUGUGGAUAUUUACUCUCUUAGAAAGGGUCUUUGGAAGAGACUUGAGAGUUCUCCUUAUGAUCAUCCACUUAGUGACCGUGCUUCUGGGGUUUUGGUGAAUGGGGUUUUGCAUUGGUUGGUCUGUAGAACUUCUCCGUAUUCAUUUUUAAUUGCUGCUUUUCAUUUAAGUGAUGAGAAAUUCUUGGAGGUAGCAGGACCUACUGGUCUUGGUAGUAAUUACUCACUGUGUAAUCUUGUGGUUCUUAGAGGGUGUCUUUGUAUAUUCACCGGUAUAGGUAAAGACAUGGACACAGUUACAUGUUGGAUGAUGAAAGAGUAUGGGGUUAAGGAGUCUUGGACGAAAUUUACGAUUACAGAACCGAAUUUAGAUAGAUCUAUGUGUACACUAUUGUGUUCAGUGACUGAUGAUGAUGUUCUAUUGGAUAUUGACGAAGAGUUGGUUGUAUACAAUAUGAAAGAGAAUCAACGUAGGGAUCUGAUGGUUGAUGCAUCUCUUAUUAUGUAUGAAGCUCGAACCUUUAUGGAUAGUCUUAUCUCUCCUUCCUUUGUCGAAGGAAACUGAAGGCUAAUGUAUUGUUUGAUGCGCGAGAUGAUGCUGUAUACAGGAAUUAAUUUGCUUCCUCUUAAUUCAAGUUGUUCCUUAAGGAUUGUUCAUCUUUCACUGCCUGACAGAAAGAAGGCAUUCUUUUGCAGUGCACUUCCUCAUGUCUUGGUUCAUUGUCAUUCUGACAUCGUAGAGAAUUGACAAUUUGAAGUUCUAUUAAUUCUUUGAAGUGAAAUGUCAUUGUAUAUUCAAUAUCUUACAACGAAAACAAUAUAACAACUAAGGUCACUUUUGGAUGUGGGAACUUUGUUGAGUGUAGUAUGUCUUAAUUUUCUGCAAGGGAUGUGAUGGAUAGAAUAUUUGGAUGUGAGAAUUUUUAUCUUAAUGGUGUGUGUAUAUAGCAUUUUGUCUUCUGUUCAUUGCUUUUGGCAUUAUAUUCUUCAUGUCAGAUUAUAUAUUAGGACAUAUUUGUCUAAAGAAGAGUUGAGUCAAGUCGUUGCUUCUUGGUACUGUCAUAAAUUAAAUUACUCUUACCUGAUUAAAACAAAAAGAGAAUUGAGUCGAGUCAUUCGUCUCUUUAUCCAGGUCUAAGUCCGUUUGAAUCUGUGCAAUUCAUGCUAGAGUGGGUUCAAGACCCAUUUUAGUUAAGCAUUUAGCAGACUAUUUAUGUUGAGAUAAAUGCUGAAUUCACAGAUAGGUUCCAAAAAGUGUUAAAUGAACAAAAAAUCCCACAAUAUUUGAGGACAGAUAACACAAAAUAUAUUGCAAGUCAUGAGCUGAAAGGAAGUACCUUUUUUUUUUCUGAUAAGGUAAAAUUUGCACCAAGCUGGUAGAAAAGAAAACAGAGUUCAUGCAAAGACCAACCAGACAAGCUGCUACUCUUUCCUUCCUAACAACUCUAAAAAAUCCAUGUAUUGGUCCAGGCUAACUAAUAGAUUGCGUUUACACCAGAAAAAACGAUUAUGCAAACUAUAUUCUUGACUCUAGAAAUAUGAUAUCUAUGCACUUCAAAGCAAGCUUUGUUCCUCUCCAUCCAUAAGGUCCAUAAGAUGCAAAGUGGGAUGGUCUUCCAUAUCUGCUUCAGCCCUCUGGAAACCCUUUGAGACUGCCAAUUUCUAAUAAUCCCCUUACAUCUUUAGGCGUUACCCAUAAGAUACCACGUCUGUUCAGAAAAAGUUCCCAAGACUGUCUAGAGAAUUUGCAAUGAAGGAAUAGAUGAUCAACUGUUUCCUGAUCUUCCUCACAUAAGUAGCAUCUACUGCACAGAGAAAAACCCCUCCUUUAACAGCAUGCUUAACAACUUUUAGCUGAGAAUAAUUUAUCUUUACUAGCUGUCUAAACAAGGAAUCCACCUGACUUUGAUUAAUCUGGACUGAGUUACCUGCUAGAGUAUCUGACAAAAAUCCUCUAGUUCCUCGUCAUUCAAAUUUCUUCUAAAAUCUAUCUGCCACUAAAUUAAAAACUUCAAAGACUGACAGGAACUGCCACUAAAAACAUCCAAAACAGAGCUGAAAACUAGCACUUGCUUAAGAUACAACCACUAUAUGAAGUUCUUUUCACUUGUCUUUGGAAAGAGCGCGCUCUAGGAAUUGGCAAUUUUUUCGUUGAAUUUAAUCAACCCCACAACCUUAGAGUACUGUAGAAUUCCAAUUUUUCAUUUUGAUCUUCCCAUUCCUUGUAGCUAUAACAUGUCUGGUCUAGGCUAUGAUUUUGCUAGUGAUGAUUAUAAGGUGGUUACUCUUUCUUUUUAUUAUACUGAUAUUGCGCAUGAAAAUUUGGACACUUUUAUGGAUAUCUAAAAGAAUGGCUGUAUGGAGGAGAUCUCAGAGUUUAACUUAUGACCAUGAAGUUCCUUUCUGCUAUUCUGUGAUUUUGGUAAAUGUUGCUUUGCAUUGGUUGACUAGAAAAACUCCUAAUCAUUCAUAUAUAAUUGUUGCUUUUAAUUUAAUUGAUAGAAAUUAUUGGAUUUUCCAUUACCUACUACUCUUGAUAAAGGUAAUUAUGCGUGGAUUAAGUUUGUGGGUCUUAGAGGUUGUCUUUGUAUGUUCGCUUGGACGCAAGAAAUCAACAUUGAUAUCUGAAUGAUAAGAGAGUAUCCAGGACCAAAUUUAAGAUUACAGGACCUAAUAUAGAUUAUGGUAUGAGUCUUUGCCGUCCCUUGUGUUUAGCGAGUGAUGAUGUUGUAUUGGAUGUGGAUGGAGACAAAUUGAUUGUCUACAAUGUGAAAGAGGAUCAGUGGAGGUAUAUGAAUAACUACUAUGUUUGAAGGAACUAGAAACUUCAUGGAAGUCUUGUCUCUCCUACGUUUGACAAGGACAUUGAAGGUUACUUCAUUACUUGAUGCAAACUUCUGAGAUGAUGUUGUAUUCAGGUAUUACCCAGACAUUUUCACGGUCUCUCAUUCAUUUGGUGUAUUUUGUUUAAUAUGUUUAAUUUGGUCCCGGUAUGGCGGUAUUUAAUUCGAUAAUAAACCCCAUAGAGUAUCGUGAAUGGUAAAUCUUUCCUCAUAGAGCCUAAAUUGCAUGGACUCUUCAUUUAUGGUGUUGCACCUGUGUCGACACGACGCCGACACUAGUAUGGGUGUGGGAUACGUUCCGGAUCUGGUCAAUUAACAUUGAGUACUUUGACCACAAACUACUUAGAAAUUAGAGAUAAGAUUUGGCAUUUUGAUUUCUCAAGAUAAAAGCUACUCUAGAUUUCUAGAUGGUUACCUACAACUUAGAACGAAAGAUUGAGUUACUGCACUCUACAAGCUAAUGUAAGUUUUCAACAUAAUGUUUCAUAUUUAGGCAUAUUUUGUAGCUUUAUUUUUAGAUAUUGCCAAGUCCGCACCCGUAUCUGUACCCCUAAAUCUUAAAUUUAGAUCAUGAAGGAUCCGACCUCUAGAUCCGCACCCAUAUCGGAUACCCACACCCGAGUCCAAGCAACUUAGCAUAGAGCUUUGUGAUGGUAAUUCUUCUGUCCUGAAGAAAAUAUACAAUGAUUGGUUCAUUGGUUGUAUCAUAUAAAAAUGGAAAUGCUUGGAAUUGUAACUUGCUUCAAUUCAACAUCAUAGAAUGGUGGCUAUUUAAGGGGAAAGAAUAAUUCAAUUUUGAGCACAUGCAGUCAUGAAAAGUAAUAGUUUUAGAUGUUUUGACUGAAUCAUGAUUAACUCAUUUAAAAUUAUUGUUGGCCACUCUGUUGGAUACUGUUUUAAGCAAUACCGACGGUAAAACUGUGAUCUAGCUGCUCUAGAAACUCAAAAAAAAAAAAAAAAAAGUUAAGCUGUCUACCUUCUUGAUUGUAUAAUUGUCAAGAUCUAUCACUACAAAGACUCUAAGAUAGAUAUUGGUAGCUGUCUACCUCCUUGAUUAUAAUUGUCGAGAUCUAUCACUACAAAUACUCUUAAGAUAGAUAUCGGUAAGCCGUUUACCUCCUUGGUUGUUAGUUGUCAAGAUCUAUCAGUAAAAAGACACUUAAAAUAGAUCUAUUGGGUAGUAUCACAGCUUAAGAAGCUAACCACCCUGCUGGUUAGUGAUUCAUCGUAUUUUCUAUUACAAUAAAGACUCUCAAGAUAGAUAUCUGUAUCAAAAAUACAUUGAUAAGAGUAACUACUGAGGAAAAAGGCCCUUAAUUUAAACAACCUCAUGUUAUUGUUCAAGAAUCAAGGCAUAACAAUCCCUAUGUUAUUAUUUUACAAUCCAUAUACUGUAAUGUAUGUUAACUAAUCUGUAAUCCUAAGGACCCUUUGGUCUAUUGAAUAUUCAAGGAAUACCCUAGUUUAACAAAUCGACUUUAGGAUUCUCCUAAUAGUUUCUCCUUUAAAUCCAACUUUGGCAAUGAGCAAAGCUGAAUUCGUACCCCAAGAAAUUAUAACUUACUUGCCCGACUUCCUGCAAAGAUCAUCUGCCAAUAUAGGUGCAUGUCAAAGCAGUGGCGCAAUCUUCUUUGAGAUCCACAAUUCCUCAAAGCUCACCUCACCGUCCACACCAAUAAAAGAGCUCAUUUUUGUCGCUGGUUCUCACUCUCUUUACACUAUCAUCUUUAACCACAACUGGAAUCAAUGCCAUUUCAAGAAAGAUUAAGUUUCAGCAGCUUUCAGACAACUGGGGCAUUAAAAUUCAACCUGGAGUAUCUUUACUUGUUUCACAUCUGGAUCACAGACGGUGUUAUCUGCAUACAAGAGAUGGGAGAUGUUCAUGUUGUUAUUUUGUCCAUUGUUCACCUUGAAGCCCUUGAGCCAAUUCUCAUUCACAGCAAAACGAAGCAUUUUGCUUAACCCUUCCAUAACCAAUAAAAAUAAGAAAGGGGAUAUUAGGUCACCUUGCCUCAGACCCCUUUGAGUAGCAAAGAAACCUUGUGGAGAGCCAUUUAUAAGAAUAGAGGAUCUGACUGUGCUGAUACAGUGCCAAACCCAGUUCAGCCACUUUGUGCCGGAACGCGAUUCCUUCAAAACAGAAUUAAUCUGCUUCUGGUGCCCUAUUGAUUGGAAUGUUGUGUUUGUGCAGAGGCCGGAAUCUCUAUAUACUUUAAUCCCAGGGGUGUUCCUCUUUCAUUAUGAUGUUGCAACUGUUAGAAUUUCAAAACUGAAGACAAAUCACCAUGAUAGAAGAAGAGUAUUCGAGUAAAACUUGCACUUAUGAUUUGAAUCUGGUGAAGUACACAAAAGCAGUAAUCAGAAAACGUCUCGAGAAAAGUUCCCAUUUGUGUUGCAGUAUCAAAAUUUCUAGCUCUGUUGUAUGUUUUAUUGCUUAUCAGAUAUAACUGUGAUCUGGCUUUAGUUUCACUGUUCCUUGAGCCGAGAGUCUUACUGGAAACAACCUCUCUAUCUUUGUAAGGUAAGGUAAGGUCUGCGUACACACUACCCACCUCAGACCCCACUUGUGGGAUUACACUAGGUUGGUUGUUGCUGUUGUAUAUAACUGUGUUUGACAAAAAAAAAAUGACAAGCAAUUUCAAAUCAA